AGCGAACGCUGGCGGCAGGCUUAACACAUGCAAGUCGAGCGGGCAUCUUCGGAUGUCAGCGGCAGACGGGUGCGUAACACGUGGGAACGUACCCUUCGGUUCGGAACAACUCUGGGAAACUGGAGCCAAUACCGGAUACGCCCUUAUGGGGAAAGGUUUACUGCCGAAGGAUCGGCCCGCGUCUGAUUAGCUAGUUGGUGGGGUAACGGCCUACCAAGGCGACGAUCAGUAGCUGGUCUGAGAGGAUGAUCAGCCACACUGGGACUGAGACACGGCCCAGACUCCUACGGGAGGCAGCAGUGGGGAAUAUUGGACAAUGGGCGCAAGCCUGAUCCAGCCAGGCCGCGUGAGUGAUGAAGGCCUUAGGGUUGUAAAGCUCUUUUGUCCGGGACGAUAAUGACGGUACCGGAAGAAUAAGCCCCGGCUAACUUCGUG
rnacentral:rRNA from 1 species